rnacentral:rRNA from 1 species
UACGUAGGUGGCAAGCGUUGUUCGGAAUUACUGGGCGUAAAGGGCUCGUAGGCGGCCAACUAAGUCGGAUGUGAAAUCCCCAGGCUUAACCUGGGAACUGCAUCCGAUACUGGAUGGCUUGAAUCCGGGAGAGGGAUGCAGAAUUCCAGGUGUAGCGGUGAAAUGCGUAGAUAUCUGGAGGAAUACCGGUGGCGAAGGCGGCAUCCUGGACCGGCAUUGACGCUGAGGAGCGAAAGCCAGGGGAGCAAACGGG